rnacentral:lncRNA from 1 species
AGGCAUUAUGUUAUGGGCCGGAAGGCGAAUAUGUUAUGGGCCGGAAGGCGUUGUGUUGUGGACCGGAAGGUCGGCGUGGGUAGGACCGGAAUGUUUACCCAGCAGGGACGGAAGUCCCCUGAGACACAUGGACCGGAAGGUCAGGGCCUGGAAAGGCGUAUAUGCGUAAGUUGUAUAUUGGGGAACUCACUAAGCAUUUAUGCUUACAGUUGUUAUGUAUGUGUUUCAGGUACUAGCGAGGACCGUGGGAAGGCGCCGGCGUGAUCUGUACACACUGAUUGAUGUUUUGUGAUCUUGGGAAUUCUAUGAUUUGUAUUUUGACAUGACACUUGGAAUAAUUAUGCCUUGUUUGAAUGAAAAUACUUUAUUUUUGAAAUGAAAAUUUUGUUUGAAAAUU